GGCUUCAUGGUCUAGUGGUAUGAUUCGUGCUUUGGGAACCUCAACUCAGCUGCACGAGGCCCCGGGUUCGAGCCCCGGUGGAGCCC